rnacentral:rRNA from 1 species
UACGUAGGUGGCAAGCGUUGUCCGGAUUUACUGGGCGUAAAGAGCGCGCAGGCGGUCGUUCAAGUCGCGUGUGAAAGCCCCCCGGCUCAACUGGGGAGGGUCACGCGAUACUGAUCGACUCGAAGGCAGGAGAGGGUAGUGGAAUUCCCGGUGUAGUGGUGAAAUGCGCAGAUAUCAGGAGGAACACCAAUGGCGAAGGCAGCUCGCUGGAACGGUACUGACGCUGAGGCGCGAAAGCGUGGGGAGCAAACAGG